rnacentral:rRNA from 1 species
GAUCAGUGGCUCAGGACGAACGCUGGCGGUGUGCUUCACACAUGCAAGUCGAACGAGGUAGCAAUACCUAGUGGCGGACGGGUGAGUAACGCGUGGGAAUCUGCCUUUAGAUGGGGGAUAACGGGUCGAGAGACUCGCUAAUACCGCAUAUGACGAAAGUUGAAAGGAGUAAUCCGUCUAAAGAUGAGCCCGCGUCCGAUUAGCUAGUUGGUAGAGUAAAAGCCUACCAAGGCGACGAUCGGUAGCUGGUCUGAGAGGAUGAUCAGCCACAAUGGGACUGAGACACGGCCCAUACUCCUACGGGAGGCAGCAGUGGGAAUUUUACGCAAUGGGCGAAAGCCUGACGUAGCGACACCGCGUGAGCGAAGAAGCCCCUUGGGGUGUAAAGCUCUGUCAGCUGGAACGAAAAAAUGACGGUACCAGCAGAGGAAGCAUCGGCUAACUACGUG